rnacentral:lncRNA from 1 species
AUUUCCUGAAGCCUCCCAAGAAGCUGAGCAGUUGUUGCCAUGCUUCCUGCACAGCCUGCAGAAUCAUGAGCCAAUUAAACCUAUUUUCUUUAUAAAUUACCCCAGCCUAAGUUAUUUUUUACAGCAAUGUGAGAACUGACUAAUACAACUGGAUUCCAUAGAAUCCUUGGAAUUUGUUUCAACAUUCUUCUGAAUCUCAAGGAUCUUAAUUGCUAUCCAGACUCCAGAUUCUAUGUCUUUUACUUCAGCUAUUUCCUUCUGAUUAAUAACCAUUGCUGGAGAGCUGUUGUGGUGUUUGGAGAUAAAACUGGAUGUGCGAGUUCAAAGGUCUACAUUUUGCAAUACGAGAGAACAGCUGAAUUGAACUAGGGAGACAUGAAUUUGUCAUGAAUAAAUCUUGCAGAAGGACUGUAUUCAAACUAUGGAGAUAUGAUAUACAGUGAAUAUAUUUGUGGUUAGCAAAAUGAUGUUACAGUUUUAUGAUAAUAAAUUUCUUAUAAAAAAGAAAGAGUUCUAAUUUAUUGUAUUAUCUUUAGUAUCUUGCACAGUUCUGGCAUGAAUUAGAUAUUAAAACUUUCUACUCCAAAUUAAGCAAU